rnacentral:rRNA from 1 species
UUUAACUGAAGAGUUUGAUCAUGGCUCAGAUUGAACGCUGGCGGCAGGCUUAACACAUGCAAGUCGAGCGGGGGAAGGUAGCUUGCUACUGGACCUAGCGGCGGACGGGUGAGUAAUGCUUAGGAAUCUGCCUAUUAGUGGGGGACAACAUCUCGAAAGGGAUGCUAAUACCGCAUACGUCCUACGGGAGAAAGCAG